CUCGCUGUUCAGUCACCAGCCCGCGGGGGAAGCCUUGGUCUGGGGCCGUGGACGCGAGCAGCGCGAGGGGUCGGGCUGGGGCAGCAGCGGGCACAGAACCUAGCCCCGGGAUGAGGGGUGUGGAGUUGGGUCGCUCCUUGGUCCUGCCCUGCGGGUGUGGAUCCAGGUACUGGCACAACCAGGAGGCCUGAGAGGGGUAUGGGGGAAGAAUGCUGUAGAGGCACCACACAGCUGGGCAUUUCUCACCAGUCUAAUAAAUUUUACAGGGAGACCUCUGUGAAAAUGGUUAUUUGCAAAAGUAAAAUCUGAAUGAAGA